GCGGCCCUUCCGCCUGGCUCUCGCCUCGGCCUGCGACCGGGAUCCUCCGCCCGGGUCGCGCAGCCGAGGCCGAGGGCUGGGGCGGGCGGCCGGGAAGUGGGAAAGGGAGCCAGAGGCGCUUCUUUUGUCUUCUCUUCCCAUCCCCCAGGAAGCGAUUUGGGGGUAUUGUGAAUUCCGAGGGCCCCACACUUAAGAGGUUGUACUCUCACCUGUCUACCUGGACUCCAAUUUCCAUAUUUCCAGUCACUUCAGGACUGAGAGAUGGAUGAUAAACCCUGUCAUAGUGGAGCAAGUUGAGGUGUUUAACCGCUGUUAUGUGGGAUCUGCCUUUCUCCCUCUUCUUUCUUACUUCCGAGGAAACACCAAAAAAAUGAUAAAACACACCAAAGUUUGUUCAGUCCAGCCAGUCCCCAGCAAAGUCCUAAAAGAAUGAAUUCAUUUUAUGGUUUUGGUAUCAAGAUGAUGCUGACCUCAUAGAAUGAGUUGAAGAGGAGUCCUUCCUCCUCACUUUCUUGGAAUAGUUUCUGUAGGAAUGGAACUAGCUCUUCUUUGUACAUCUGGUAGAAUUCGGCUGUGACUCCAUCAGGUGCUGGGCUCUUUUUUUUUGGUAGGUAGGCUAUUUAUUACUGAUUCAAUUUUGGAGCCCACCAUUGGUCUGUUCAGGGAAUCAGUUUCUUCCUGACUCAGUCUUGGGAGGGUGUGUGUGUCCAGGAAUUUAUCAAUCUCUUCUAGAUUUUCUAGUUUGUGUGCAUAGAGGUGUUUAUAGCAGUUUCUGAUGGUUGUUUUUAUAUCUGUUGUGUCAUAGUAAAAUUCCCUUCAUCAUUUUUAAUUGUGUUUAUUUGGAUCUUCUCUUUUUUCUUUUUUGUUAGCCUAGCUAGUGGCAUAUCUAUUUUAUUAAUUUUUUAAAAAAACAAUUCCUGGAUUCAUUGAGAUCUCUAGAAUGAGAAUUACAAAACACUGCUGAAAGAAAUCAGAGCAGACACGAACAAAUGAAAAAAACAUCUCAUGCUCAUGGAUAGGAAGAAACAAUAUUAUUAAAAUGGCUAUACUGCCCAAAGUAACUUACAAAUUCAGUGUUAUUCCUAUCAAACUACCAACAACAUUCUUCACAGAACUAGAAAAAACUAUUUUAAAAUUCAUAUGGAACUAAAAAAGAGUCUUAAUAGCCAAGGCAAUCCUAAACAAAAAGAAAAAGCUGGAGGCAUCAUGUUACCUGACUUUAAACUAUGCUACAAGGCUACAGUAGCAAAAACAGCAUGUUUCUGGUACAAAAACAGCAUGUUUCUGGUACAAAAACAGGUGCAUAGACCAACGGAACAGAAUAAAGAGCCCAGAAAUAAUGCCGCACGUCUCCAACCAUCUAAUCUUCGACAAAGCUGACGAAAACAAGCAAUGGGGGAAAUGACUCCUUAUUCAAUAAAUGGUGCUUGGAUAACUGGCUAGCCAUAUGCAGAAGAUUGAAGUUGGACACUUUCCUUACACCAUACACAUAAAUCAACUCAAGACAGAUUAAAGACUUAAAUAUACAUCCCAAAACUAUAAAAAACCUGCCAAACAACCUAGGCAAUACCAUCCUAGAUGUAGGAAUAGAAAAAUAUUUAAUGACAAAGACACCAAAAGCAAUCACAACGAAAGCAAAAAUUGACAAGUGGAAUCUAAUUAAACUUAAGAACUGCACAGCAAAAGACACUAUCAACAGAGUAAACAGACAACCUACAGAAUGGGAGAAAGUAUUUGCAAACUAUGCAUCUGAAAAGGUCUAAUAUCUAGCAUCUAUAAGGAACUUAAAUUUAUAAGAGAAAAGCAAACAAUCCCAUUAAAAAGUGGGCAAAGGACAUGAACAGACACUUCUCAAAAGAAGACAUACAUGUGGUCAACAAGCAUUUGAAAAAGAGCUCAGAAUCACUGAUCGUAAGAGAAAUGCAAAUCAAAACCACGAUGAGAUACCAUCUCAUACCAGUCUGAAUGGCCAUUACUAAAAAGCCAAAAAACAACAGAUGCUGAUGAGGUUGUAGAGAAAAGGGAACACUUAUACACUGUUGGUGGGAGUAGACAUUUGUCUGACUAUUGUGAAAAGCAGUAUGGUGAUUCCUCAAAAAGCUAAAAGCAGAACUACCAGUUGACUCAACAAUUCUAUUACUGGGUAUAUACCCAGAGGAAUAUAAAUUGACCAUAUAGUGUUUCUACCAUAAAGACACAUGCAUGUGAAUGUUCAUUGCAGCACUAUUCACAAUAGCAAAGACAUGGAAUUAACCUAAAUGCCUAUCGAUGACAGAUUGGAUAAAGAAAAUGUGGCACAUAUACACCAUGAAAUACUAUGCAGCCAUAAAAAAGAACAAGAUAUCUGUGGACGGAACAUGGAUGGAGCUGACAAAACAAAAAAA
rnacentral:lncRNA from 1 species